AUUUAAAUAACUUAAAAUAAAUAAAGUUUAAUAUUGAAAAUAUUAAUAUGAUUUUUAAAAAUCUUUAAAUA
rnacentral:tRNA from 1 species